rnacentral:rRNA from 1 species
UCCCUACGGGACGCAGCAGUAGGGAAUCUUCCACAAUGGGCGAAAGCCUGAUGGAGCAACGCCGCGUGGGUGAAGAAGGUCUUCGGAUCGUAAAACCCUGUUGUUAGGGAAGAAAGUGCGUGAGAGUAACUGUUCACGUUUCGACGGUAUCUAACCAGAAAGCCACGGCUAACUACGUGCCAGCAGCCGCGGUAAUACGUAGGUGGCAAGCGUUAUCCGGAUUUAUUGGGCGUAACGGGAACGCAGGCGGGCUUUUACGUCUGAUGUGAAAGCGUUCGGCUUAACAGGAGUAUAGCAUUG